UACGUAGGGAGCGAGCGUUGUCCGGAUUCAUUGGGCGUAAAGAGCUCGUAGGCGGUUCAGUAAGUCGGGUGUGAAAUCUCCGUGCUCAACACGGAGCGGCCACCUGAUACUGCUGUGACUCGAGUCCGGUAGGGGAGUGUGGAAUUCCCGGUGUAGCGGUGAAAUGCGCAGAUAUCAGGAGGAACACCAGCGGCGAAGGCGGCGCUCUGGGCCGGUACUGACGCUGAGGCACGAAAGCGUGGGGAUCAAACAGG
rnacentral:rRNA from 1 species